GCCAUCAUAGCGUAAUGGAUAACGCAUCGGACUCCUAAUCCGGAGAUUGUGGGUUCGAGUCCCAUUGAUGGUA